AACGCGAAGAACCUUACCUGGUCUUGACAUCCACAGAACUUUCCAGAGAUGGAUUGGUGCCUUCGGGAACUGUGAGACAGGUGCUGCAUGGCUGUCGUCAGCUCGUGUUGUGAAAUGUUGGGUUAAGUCCCGCAACGAGCGCAACCCUUAUCCUUUGUUGCCAGCGGUCCGGCCGGGAACUCAAAGGAGACUGCCAGUGAUAAACUGGAGGAAGGUGGGGAUGACGUCAAGUCAUCAUGGCCCUUACGACCAGGGCUACACACGUGCUACAAUGGCGCAUACAAAGAGAAGCGACCUCGCGAGAGCAAGCGGACCUCAUAAAGUGCGUCGUAGUCCGGAUUGGAGUCUGCAACUCGACUC
rnacentral:rRNA from 1 species